GCCAACAGAGAAUGAAAUGCUACGCAAUCUUUUUUAUCAUCUAUUUAGGAGUGCAGACUAUUCAGACGUUGGCGCACCUACCAAAAAAUGACGAUUUCUUCUCACGGGAUGAAUCUAAAAACUCGACCAACUCAAAGUUUGGAUUUGAACCUUCCAGUUUGGACAAUGUUUUGUCCUCAUUUCUGUCGCUGUUCAAAGGCUGGGGAUCCGGUGGUCCAUCACCUCUGUCAGACAUAGCAAAAGUGCUGACCACCUUUUUCAGCAUGCUGUCGGAUUAGCUUGGA